UACGUAGGGUCCGAGCGUUGUCCGGAAUUACUGGGCGUAAAGAGUGUGUAGGCGGUGCUCUAAGUUCGGUGUGAAAUCUCCUGGCUCAACUGGGAGGGUGCGCCGGAAACUGGAGUGCUUGAGCGUGGGAGAGGAAAGCGGAAUUCCUGGUGUAGCGGUGAAAUGCGUAGAUAUCAGGAGGAACACCUGUGGUGUAGACGGCUUUCUGGACCAUAGCUGACGCUGAGACACGAAAGCGUGGGUAGCAAACAGG
rnacentral:rRNA from 1 species